UACGUAGGGUGCGAGCGUUGUCCGGAAUUACUGGGCGUAAAGAGCUCGUAGGUGGUUUGUCGCGUUGUCCGUGAAAACUCACAACUCAAUUGUGGGCGUGCGGGCGAUACGGGCAGACUGGAGUACUGCAGGGGGAGACUGGAAUUCCUGGUGUAGCGGUGGAAUGCGCAGAUAUCAGGAGGAACACCGGUGGCGAAGGCGGGUCUCUGGGCAACUACUGACGCUGAGGAGCGAAAGCGUGGGGAGCGAACAGG
rnacentral:rRNA from 1 species